UGGGGAAUAUUGCGCAAUGGGGGGAACCCUGACGCAGCCAUGCCGCGUGAAUGAAGAAGGCCUUAGGGUUGUAAAGUUCUUUCGGUAUUGAGGAAGGUUGAUGUGUUAAUAGCACAUCAAAUUGACGUUAAAUACAGAAGAAGCACCGGCUAACUCCGUGCCAGCAGCCGCGGUAAUACGGAGGGUGCGAGCGUUAAUCGGAAUAACUGGGCGUAAAGGGCACGCAGGCGGUUAUUUAAGUGAGGUGUGAAAGCCCUGGGCUUAACCUAGGAAUUGCAUUUCAGACUGGGUAACUAGAGUACUUUAGGGAGGGGUAGAAUUCCACGUGUAGCGGUGAAAUGCGUGGAGAUGUGGAGGAAUACCGAAGGCGAAGGCAGCCCCUUGGGAAUGUACUGACGCUCAUGUGCGAAAGCGUGGGGAGCAAACAGGAUUAGAUACCCUGGUAGUCCACGCUGUAAACGCUGUCGAUUUGGGGGUUGGGGUUUAACUCUGGCGCCCGUAGCUAACGUGAUAAAUCGACCGCCUGGGGAGUACGGCCGCAAGGUUA
rnacentral:rRNA from 1 species